rnacentral:rRNA from 1 species
UAGUCCACGCCGUAAACGAUGAGAACUAGACAUUGCGGGUAUUGACCCCUGCGGUGUCGAAGCUAACGCAUUAAGUUCUCCGCCUGGGGAGUACGGUCGCAAGAUUAAAACUCAAAGGAAUUGACGGGGGCCCGCACAAGCGGUGGAUCAUGUGGUUUAAUUCGAAGCAACGCGAAAAACCUUACCUGGGUUUGAAAUCCCGAGAAUCUUCUAGAGAUAGAGGAGUGCCCUUCGGGGAAUUCGGUGACAGGCGCUGCAUGGCUGUCGUCAGCUCGUGUUGUGAAAUGUUGGGUUAAGUCUCGCAACGAGCGCAACCCCUAUCGUUAGUUGCCAGCAUUAAGUUGGGCACUCUAACGAGACUGCCCGGGUUAACCGGAGGAAGGUGGGGAUGACGUCAAGUCCUCAUGGCCCUUAUGUCCAGGGCUACACACGUGAUACAAUGGUCGGUACAAAGGGAUGCGAGCACGCGAGUGUCUGCAAACCUCAAAAAACCGAUCUCAGUCCGGAUUGGAGUCUGCAACUCGA